AGAAGGCGGAACUUUGGAGACAGCAAAGCUCACAGCGGCUUCCAGGGCAGAGGGAGAAAAUGAGUCCCUGAAGGUUGUAGGUGCAGUGAAACCACUCUACAGUGCAGCUGAGCCUAGUGAGCCCAAGGCAAACUGUGGGUUUCAGUUAGAUUUAUCAGCAGGGAGCCAGCGACCACAGCAGUAUCUGCUGGGGUAUUUGUUUAAGCUUGAAGGGCGGACAGCAGCACGCACAGCUUGAUUUACUUGUUCCAGUGGACGACACAAGUAGUGAGAAUGAGAUGAGGAAAAUAAACGGCCCCCAGGGAAGUCUUCGCUAUCCCGGUUCCCACCCCUGCUUCGGGAUGAAAUCCAGCAGGGCCGUUGCUAAGCUACUGGAGCAGCUGGACUCAGUGGGAGUCUGGGUGGUCUCACAAAAACUUGCUGAAGCUCUGAAGAGGCUGAGACAUGAUGGGCAUCCUGGAUGGAGCCCCUGGGAACAGUGUGUAACAGCAGAAGACACUCGAAUGUCAUUGGGGGUCCUCAGCACUGGUGUCAACACUGUGUCCCCCACCUGGAGAAGGGUGAGUAGGGUCUUUGCUGAACGGUGUCCCUAGAACCCAUGGUGACCCACUAUGGGUGACCAGGCAGGAAGUGGUUCAGGAGGUGCCCGUGGGCCCACACCUGUCCUGGGGCCGGUGCCCCAGGCCGCCUGGAGCAGCCCUACUGACCUCCCCGUGCUGUCCUGCUCCCAUCUCACCACGAGAGGCACCCUGACCCGCGCCCGUUGGGCUACCUGCCUCAGUAUGACCUUGUCAGUGAGUCUUCCAGGGAUCCCAGAGCUUGCACCCACAAACCCCGGACUUCUCUGGACAGUGCAAGGCCCAGGACUCCACAUGGGAGCAGAGGGAGGGGUUGCAGCCAGCUGGAAAUGGCAAAGAAAGAGCUGAGAGUGGCAGCUAGGGGUACAAGGAGGACCCCGUUGGAAGUCUGUCAGGAGGCCACCAGCCACACCUGCACUCAGACAGGGACACAGUUCCUCCCCACCCGGGGGACUGGGCCAGGUAUUACAAACGGUGCCCUGGAGAGAGCUGGGUGGAGGACCGCUGGCAUCCCUGCGUCCCCUCCGGAGGGAGCAGUGUCCCUGAGAGUGCAGCCCCGCACACUGCAGGACACCGCAGGGCCCACUGCAGGACAUGCUGUGGGUCCCACGCUCCCAUGCUGGGUGAAGAGUUGCGCGUCCCCCAUGGUGUGGCCGCUCCUCUGCCCUUCCCUCUGCUCCGGAGGAGGCUUCUCCCAGGACCUUGCGGGUCAUCUGUGAAGGAGGAUCGGCUCAGCCGCCAGGACCAGAGCUUAUCUGAGAGGCGCUGCCUUCCAGGGGCACCACGGGACAGUUUGUGCGCAAGACGUUGAGUAACAGUUACCAUAAGCUGAUUAGCACAUCCGUCGCCACCCCAGUAAUCACGGGGCUCGUGAGGACACUGAAAUCUGCCCCACCUGAUUCCAACCAGGAACCACACCUCUCCAAGCCACGCCCUGCGCGCCCCAUUCCCGGUGACCUUCGGGGCCUCCUCCCCUUCUCACCCCCACUCCCGAUUGUGCUAAUUCCUUUACCACCAUCCUGCCUUCCUCUCAGGGCUGGUUUCUUCUCAUUCCUUCUGUUUUUAGUAACUAUUAUCAGGAAAGAGGCCCAAAUUGGGGGUGGAGGAAGCAGAUUAAAAUAAAAAAUAAGAGACAGAGAGAGAUGAGGCAGAGACAGACAGAGACAAAUGGAGACAGCUAGAAGAAAAGGAGAGAGGGUCAUAAAGAGAGUGAUUAAGAUGAAGAAGAUUAAAGCAAAGAAUAGAGAGGAGAGGAG